GGCGGCGCUUCCCCCGCUCCCCCCGCGGGCCGGCCCCGUCACGUUCCGCUCCGCAUGGCCCGGCACGCUCGGGGCUCCGGCCCGCCCUCAGCGCCGGCACCGCCGCCCGCGGGGCCGCCUCAGGGGCGGCUGGGGCUGGCACACACCGUGCGAUCCCUCACGGACCCGCGGGAGAGAACACCAUCCCUCACACACCGUGCGAUCCCUGCCGGACCCGCGGGAGGGAAAACCAUCCCUCACACACUGUGCGAUCCCUCACGGACCCGCGGGAGGGGAUCCCUCCCCUCACACACUGUGCGAUCCCUCACGGACCCGCGGGAGGGGAUCCCUCCCCUCACACACCGUGCGAUCCCUCACGGACCCUUCAGCUCCCUCAUCUCACCACCCUCCCCCUCAGCUUUCCACAGAAAUUGUGUGAAUUCCUCACCUGAGGGACACAUGGUGGAUGUUUGGCCCGGGCAGCAUUCCUGCUGAUGUAAGAGCGUCCUGCUCUGGAAAUUCCGAGAAAUGGCGUAAAAUGGAUGUAAAAUUUCCUUCUUUGCACCCACACAACCUCACAGGGAAGAAUUUCUUCCUAAUAGCUAAUCUAAAUUUCCCCUCCCUCAAUUUUUACCCAUUACUCCUUGCCCUGUCACUACAGUUCCUGAUGAAGAGUCUCUCUCCAGCUUCCUUGUAAGCCCCCUUCAGAUAUUGGGGGGUUCCAAUAUUGGAGAUCUCCACAUAACCUUCAAAUUACCUCCAGGUGUGAUUGGUGACCCUCCUUCACCCACCUGUGGUACCUCGCUGUCCUGCUGUCUCCACCAUUUGUUUUUUUCCACACACAAAUGGCUCCUUGGUCAUUAUUGUCCCCACCUGUACCACAGCUGGCGCUGUGAAGCCCCAGAUGAUUAAUGUACAGACACGAAACACUCCUCAAAGGCCAAUUCUGUGGCUGCCAAAUCCAGGACUGAAAAGAGAUGCCUGUGCAAAAUUAAUUUGGCUUAUCUCUGGGCAUGGAUUAGAAAUCUUAUUAGAUAUUCAUCUCCCGCUUUUUGCACAGAGCCCUGUCUCGCCGACGAGCAGAGUGGAUGGUGCUCCUUAAUGAAUAAGGAUCAGUGUUCUGCUUUACCUUUGCUAUUUAGUGUGGCCUGAGGCUGUAAAAGCCCCACGUGCCCCCAGCCCAGCUCUGGGGCACAUUUUGCCACGCUCAUGGCCUUCUGCACUGUGCCAGGAGGUUUCAUGGACACUUGCAGAUGGUGGAGGAGCAGUGAGAGUUGGAAGUCUUAGGACCUGGUCCAAGCUCUAAAAGGGAACUGCCAGACACUGGUCUUGGGGACAUCAGGACUCUGUCCUUCAGACUGUUCCUCUGCCUUUGCCUCUCAUGGCUGCUUGUUCUUACAUCCUUGCCUGGCUCCCAGUCUCCCUUCUAGCCCUACCAUUCUCUACCAGUUUCUGAAAAAAAUGAGUUUAUGGUAAAACGAAUGGCAGUUUCUCAAAUGUAAGUGGAGAUUUUUGUCCUCCUGCUGCUCAGCUGGGGAAGCUUCCACCCCCAAGGGUCCCCGGGAACACAAGGAGUUUAAAUGUCCCAUCUUCAGUCCAAGUGCCUGGACUGAGCCCAGCCCAUCUGCAGUUGCAGAGUAGAGCCUGCUGGCCCUCACAUGGAUGAAAUCCUUGGAGAAUUUAGCUGGGAGCAUCUAGCAAACCUCUGCUGAGAAGUGAGCAAGCUGCAGCUUCUCAGAAGCUUAGCAGUUAUCAGCUCAUCAGGCAGAUUGCGUUGUUAAAAUGGUAGAGCUCACCCAUCCCUCCACUGCCAGGCUUUGGGUGCAAGGCAUGUUGGCAUCCGACUUUUCCACAAAAAACAACUGUAGAAUUGUUUUAGCAUGGAUAAAAUAUCCCUGCCCGCCUGUUUCUUUGAUUGAGAGAACCAGUGAAGCUUUUCAAAGUUAUAAUCAACUUAAAACAGGGAGUUUAUGGUGGGAAGUGCUGGACAACCUUUGUGAUCAGUGUACCAGUCCUGUCUGGAACAUUCGUGGAAGCAAUAAGAACAGGGUGGCAUGCUAAAGAUGCUGGGAUAUUAAGAUAAAUGUCUGGAAGGAAAGUUCAAUCAUGGCGUUUUUGUGACCUAAGAAAUCUUAAUGACAGGCACCAUCCAGCAGUGACAGGGGUUGUGUGCCAGCGGGGAGCGAGGCCAGAGUCCAACAGAGAACACGUCUGCCAGGGAGCCAACGCUGCCGUGACCUCUGCCCGUGUCCGUGAGCUCACCAAGCACCUCUGUGCUGGACCAGGCACAUUUCACAGAGCAGACCAAGCUGUGGAGCCGAAUUUUGGUGGAACAGAAGCUGAGAAAUGGGAUUAAUUGGUGAAAUAAUGCAUAGACCACCCCUCUAAAAAAAAUGUUCUAUGAAGUCACCCAUGAAUGAACCCAGACAAGGAUGACAAGCAAGAAAUAAGGAUGGUUUGCAGGUCAUGGAUUCAUCGGAGGGCACAGCACAGAGACAGCUGUUAGCUCAAAACUGCUGCUGGAAGGAUCAGAUAGUAGUGAAAAAGGGAAAGGAGAGGGAGACAACCGUCCCAUGAGAGCAAGCUCACACAGCAAGAGAGAGGAGCAGACAGUUGGUUAGGUUGUUUUUCAGGAAAAGAAAACUUUAUCUAGCCAGAAUCAUAAAAGGUUGUAAAAUCAAAGAGCCAAAGACUGGAAGGGCUUUGGUAAAUAUUGAUAAAUCAAGACCUGCAUGCUUUUAAAGACUAAAUUAAAGGCUGUUGGUAAGGCCUGAAGGAAGCCAGCAGGAGCCUUUGUGGUGAUUUGAAAGGCUGGAGGUCAAGACUUCAGCACGGGUUUGGCAAAGGGCUCCCAGCAGAGGGGUGGCAGUGCUGGGAGCUGGGAGCCAGUGUUCCUGCCUGUCCCUGGCUGCUCCUACAGGGCUGUGUACCUGGUGCUGAAGACACCUGGGAGACACUCGGGAGUGAACCUUCCUGCAAGGGACAACGUGGGAGCAAGAACAGGCAGGAGAGGAGUCGGCUGUGAUGGGGAUGCAGGCGGAGGGGCCCGUUCCAAAGGUGGCAAAAGCAUCUCCCACCUCUCUAAGUGAAGGGCUGUCAGUUCCAUUUUUGGGCUCUGUCCUCUCUUGAUGAUUUCACGUUUGCACGGUGGCUGUUCCUGCUUGUCUUCACCUCAGCAUUUAUUUAGCAGCAGGGUACGAUUAUCUCGGGGCAGCGCUCUGUGCCUUUGACAUCCCUUAAUUAAACUAUGACAUUUGCUAACUAUGGAAAAGGAAAAUACCGAAGGAAAAAACCCUCACUGCAUUCUCAUUAGACCACAUUCGUGAGACUUUGGGUGCCACGCAGGAGAACAGUACAAAGGAUGUUUUAAUGAGCUUCAGUAAAGGUGCCCUUGCUUUUGGUUUGUCUCUAAUUGUACGAGCUUUGAUCUUGAUUUCUUCAAGAGAUAUUUUACUGUGCACUGAGAUAGCACUGACAGACCUGAACAGUUUUGCUUUGUCCAGUUUCUAAGAGACGAAAAACUUUCCACUGGAAAAUGGUUCCAGGGAAAGUUUCAGCGAGCAGCAUCUUCAGGAUCUGGCCUGAUAAUUUUGUACAAACAGGUCCUGCAGAAGGAAAUGUGCGCAAGUGAUACCUAGCAUGGGCACUGGGACAGAUGAAGUCAAAUGCUGACUCCACAGAUGUGUUCUGUGCUUGGCUACCCUAUGCAGGGGGAGGAAGGCUUUAGCAGUGCAGGAGAGCAGCUGAGGAAUAUUGCAGUGCCAUGUAGCUGCACAACCCAGCUCGUGGCUUGGGACUUCUUGGCCAGUUCACUCGCCCUAGAUUAUGGCUCCAGUAAGACUGGAAGCCUUGUGGGAGGGAAUUUCUGCGUUUAUCACUCAGGGUGCCUCGACUCAGAGUGAGCACCGGGCCUGCCUGAGAAGACUGUUGAAAUCUAUUUUCUAAUAUGAAUCAUUUAGUGUUUUUCUUAUUAGUAAAGCAAGAAACAAGACACAAACCUGAGGUAAUUUUAAAGCUGUUUUUAAAUUAAUCUUGGCAUUUUGCGGCUUGACAAAUCCAAAGCCUCUGAAAUCAUUGCACGGCUGUAGCAAAUGAAGUUUUAUUCAGGAGAGAUCAAGUCUAGAGGUUUUUGUGUUUCCAACCGUGGCUUUACAGCUAAGGGGCUACCAGGAAUUAAGCUUUGUAGAACUAGUCUGAGCUCACCAAGGGGAGAGCCUUCACUUCAGAGGGAGCUCAGGCUGCCUUAAAUUAAUACUUCAUUCACCAGAGCCUCUGAUUUGAGUUUAGGGGUAGCUGGCAUUAAGGCAAUCCUGGAGAAUAUCUAUAGUGUAAGAAAAGCUGCACUUAGGCUGUGAACCUUCCUCUUCCCAGCAAGAGCACAGGAUAAAACCUGCUGAGACAUCCUUGGUACCCUGCCACGAGCUCCCUUCUCCGGUGCCUUUUCAUCUUCCCUUCCAUGAAUAUUAACAGCAGUUCUUUCACUCUGAAAAACUGCAAUGCUAAAAUCCAGCCAGAUAUGCCUCCUCGAGUCGCAGCAGCACUCACUCAGCCUCGCCAGGCUCCUUUUUGUGGUGGGGCUGCUCAGUCAGACCCAGACAGCCCUUGUUUUGCAACGGAGACAUGGACAUAUAGGACACUUGAGCAAUCAAACACGGCGGUGACUUCUUGCCACUAUUGAACUGGGUUGGAUUUAAUCAACAGCAGCCCCAUUUGCAGCGCUGCGCCCGCCAGCGCCGGCGGUUUGGAGGUCACCGGUGGGAGGGAAUGCCAGCCUGGGCUCCGGGGCUUCCCUGCAGAGAGGCUCACAAAAGGCAGGGGAAAAAAAACUCAUCCUGAAGCUUCACAUAUUGCGCCGGAUAAAGUUCCAGCAUAGUGAAAGUUCGCUGCAGUGUCUGCGUGCGUCUGCAGCUCUUCAUCAUGACUCAGUGGAAACCCUCCUUUUUAUUGGUGUGAGUGAGCACUAUUAAGGGGCAGGUCUGCAGCUGAGGGAACAUCCUGCUCACAGCUAUCUGCAGAUUCCUCUGACGAAAUCACUCGGGGAAUAAAUCACUGCCCCGUGAAAAGCACCUAAUCAAACAGAUAAGUCUUGCGUUUCACCCUUGUCUCUCUCACUCCCACACAUGACUUUGCAUGUGAAUCUUUAAGACCUGUAUGCCCUAUAUUUUUUCACUCUAAUGCUGCAAUUAAUCACAUUACAUAACCAGCCUACUGCUGUUUCUAAUUAAAUUUUUCGGGGGGGGGGGGGGGGGGG